rnacentral:lncRNA from 1 species
AUGGACGCCGGUCAGGCGGUGAAGAAGCCACUGUCAGAUCUGCAAAAUCGAAGUAGUUACCUACUAAAAGCUAUACUGGACCAGAACUAAAAUUACAACCCAGCAAUGCACCAAUGUGCAUCAUCAGACCUGUAGUGAUGCAAAUAACAGGGAAAAUUCACUACAAACAAAUCCUUGGCUACUGCUCCUAAUCACCGCACAAAUUCUGACUGCAAUCAGAAGCGUUGGUCGGUUCAGUGACUACAAUCAGCAUUGGUUAACUGGAUUCUUAUUGGGAAGGUCUUGCUACCUAUACAGAUAUCCAAGUUUAUGCGCCAUGUGUGUGCGCGCAUGCAUGAAUUAAUGCUAUCCAUUAACGAAUUAAUCACCGCAUAAAUUCUGAAUGCAAUCAGAAGCGCUGCAUCAGCUAAUAUAUUCGAUCUCCACAAAUCACAAGCUACCAGCUCUUCCAUCCGUUCAGUGAUGUUGCUGAUCUACGGAGACCUACGGACAUAGAUAACAGGACGCUCGUCGUUUUUGCUUUCCGAAGAUCUACGGAGCCUUACCUGAUCCCAGCCGCAAGGCGCACCAGAUUUUCGUCUCCGUCCUGUUGCUGCCGUCUCGUGGAUGUUGUGGACGCCGCCGCAGUCGCCUUCGUCCCGGAGCCGCCGCAGCCUCCCGCGCCGCCAACAAGCGCAGAUUCUUUCCACGCCGAUGGGACGAGGGUUGUAACCCGGUCGAGAUGAUGUGGGAAUCGUCCGGGAUGGGCCGGGGUUGAUGCCCGAACAGGCUUAAACGAACGUUGUUUUUGCGUGGGCCGGUAUUUCAACCACGGAGGUCUGAUCCCGGGAGGAUUCUUUCCAAUCCAGACUGAUCCCGGUCGAAGCGAACAAGGCCUAAGAGGGAAUUGCAAAGCACGGGGAAGCAUUCUUACUGUGGGUUUGGGCGUCAAUGGUACUACCUGCGGCGAGCAGUGGAUUGGCGACACCGCCCCAACGCUGACGACGAGUUGCGCGCACCUCGAGCCACCCCACGUUCAGCUGAAUCACACACCAGCUUCAAUGGGACCUGGCGACGCCCCUGGCUUGCUACCCGAGGGCCCAACAAUCGCACAGCCUCGCCCCGAUGGCGACGGCUGACACAACCACCCUCCUUUCUCUCUCUGGACGUGACACGCUCGGUGUGGGCGCGACUUGAUCAUGUGGUGUCGGGGGCGGAUAUGGCCUUUGUAUAUAUAGCCCUAGGGGAAGAAUCGGGUUGAUUGGCGCGAGAAACCCGGCGCGAUUUGGUUGUUGGGGGCAAUGAAAUCCUGGCGGCUAGACUUACGGACGAGUUCGUUGAGCCGAGGAAGAAAGUUCUGGUAGAUGGGCCCCAUAGGACAGAGACCCCCAUGGCCAUGUGGGAGAGAACAACUGGCAAGUGGGGUCUAGUUGUAGGAGAAAUGGGGAGAAAGGGGAGCGGGCAAGAGGCUGGUACCAGGGCCCCUGUUGUCAGUGUGGUGUCGCGGCCAAUGCGGUGGUAGAGUGGGUCAACGUUAAGGAUGGCAACGGGUAAAAUAUCCGCGGAUAGUGUCUCUGGAUAUCCAUAUCCACGACUUAUAUCCGAUAUCCGAACCCGUACCCGUUACCCGCUAUGGAUAACAAACAGUAUCCACAUCCGUUACCCGCGGGUAACGGAUAUCCGCGGAUAUAUCCGUUUGCCCACUACACAUACAAAAUAUUUAAAUCCAGCAAAUUCAAACAUGAUAUCAUAUUUGUCCAGCAAAUUUAAAUAUGAUAAAAACAUAAAUCUAUACAAAAUUAGUCCAGCAAAUUCAAACAUGAUAUCAUAUUUGUCCAGCAAAUAUAAAAUUGUCUACAGAUAUCAAGUGCUACCCAUAUUUGGGACGGGAGUACAAGAUAUUUUAACGGAUAUUCGGGUAUUUGGGUAUGGAUAUUGAUUUUUCGUAUCCGUUUUAAAAAUAUCCACGGAUAUCAAGUGCUACCCGUAUCCGUAUCCAUGGGUACAGACUCGUACCCAAAACCGUGCCCAAUGGAUUUUUUAUCCGCGGGUACGCGGAUAAAUGACAUCCAUUGCCAUCCCUAGUCGACGUGUGUACAUCCUGUUACUGGGCCAAAACCAAGGUGGACUGAGCUGGGUUUCUCCUUUCCUUUUUUUUAUUUCUUUUGUCUUCUUUCAAAUAAAAUUCAAAUAUGUUUUGGUUUUAGAACCUAAAUUUAAAUGCAAAAUUCAAAGAGCCAGUAUGAAAUGCAACAAUUUUAUAUGAAUUACUUUAUUGACCUAUUUAGGCUAAUAUUUCCAAUAUACAUCACACAAAAUAACAUCAGUAUGAGAUGCACAUUUCACAAUUUAUUUAUUAGUUACUUGACUAAUUUGAUACUAUUACUUGAAUAUGAAAAAGGAAAGGAACAACUAAAGUUCCAAUGGUUCCAAAAAUUCCCAAAAACACUAUCUUAAACAUAUUUAUUUAUUUACUUUAUUGUUUUUUUCUACUAAUUUUGGGAAUUACAAAUCCUACCCCCUUAACAGAAAUCUCGCCCUCGAGAUUUGUAAGAAAAGGGAUAUAGAAGGAUUGGUAAUUUUAGCUCUUAGUCUAUAAUUGGUUCAAAAAUCCAGAGUCUCUUUUUUUGUAUAUAUAUAGUCAUUAGUGGGUGAUUAGGAGAGCAUAUGUAUCCAGCUACAUAUUAUGUAGGUUAUAAGCUGGACAGGUUGAGGUAAGAAAUAUUAUGGCCAGGAAAAGACUUCAUCCGAAAUGUUUAAGUCUUGAUUCUUCUCGAGAUUCGCUUUGACUGUUAUAUCCUUCCUUGUCUAUGUUGAUCGUUUCUUCUCUAGUCUUGAACUCAUUGAUUCGAGGUUAGUGUAAUUCAUCGGGGUCGGGGAAUAUGGUUAAAAUAGAUAUGGAUGAGAUAGACUACAUGAUGUAGGUCAAAAUCGUGUUUGAUGUCAGGUGAGGGUAGACCGAUUAUGCAAUCCAUCAAGAUUCUAUGGGUUCGGUUAGAUCUCAUGCAUGUGACUGAGUUGGUCUAAUGUACUGAGUUAAGUUAACACCUGGCUAGUAGGGUCUAAUCUCUUCUACUAGUAUCACUAAUCUGUUUAAGUAAAUCACAUUAGAUUAGAUCACAAUAGAUUCCAUAAUCCUAUUUAAGAAUAUCAUUUAGUUAAGCAUAUCAAGCUUACUUUAUCUUUACGAAGUUCUACUAUAUUUUUUUAUCUAAGUGGAACUUCCAAUUAGUAUAUAUAUAUGUAUAUAUUUAUACACCUAAAAUUUUCAUGCCAUUAGCAGGUGUGGCAUAGAAAACAAGGGUGGUGGAUCUUGAUUCAUCUGAAGGUCUGUUUCUACUCAUAUCCUUCAUUGUUGAGGUUAACCUUCUUGGGUCUAAUUUAGGGACCAUCGGUCGUGGUGUUAGAUGCCAUUAUCUGAGUUGGGAUAAUAAUUGCUGGUAUAUGGGGUAGAGCUUUACUUUGCUUUUGAGAUAAAUGGGUUGGGCAACCUAUAACAUAGACUAGGUCGUGGUUUCACGGACGAGUUGGUCUAAGACACCAAUUUAGGUUUAAAACCCAUUUAUAGGAAUAUGGUCUAAUCUAAGUUACCAGUAUUAACUAACUUGUUUAAGUAACUCCUUUUAGAUUGGAUCAUAUUAGAUUAGGUAGGGUCUAGAUUAGAUUGGAUAUAACUAGAUUAGACUAGUUUUAGAUAGAUCUACCAGGGUAGGAUAUAUAUUAUUAAUAUAUGCUAGAAUCUUUUGAGAUAGGAUGGAUUAUAUGGUGCAGGUAAGUCAGAAUCUCUGUUAGGUUAAAACAGAGGGGUUAUGCAACCAUCGAAUGGUUAAGGUAGUUGCAUAAGGCCGAGUUGGUCGGUCAUUCUUAACUUAGUGCAGAGUGAAUUAAGUUAAAACAUAUAUUAUAGGAGUAGAGUCUUAUUUAUUCCAUUAGUAUUAUCCUCCUUGUUAAGAAACUUACAUUAGAUUAGCUCAACUUGAGGUUAGCCUUCGUUAGGUUAGAUUAAUCUAUCACAUUAGAUCGGAUCUAAGUUAUAUUUGUGUGACUAGAUUAGACUAGAUAAGAUCUCAUUAUUUUGGAUUAGAUCCUAAUUGUUACUUUAGGAUAAGUAAAAUGGUUAGGAUAAGACGAAUCUUUCAAGACAAGAUGAAUCUAUUAAGAUAAGAUGGAUCUAUUAGGCUUGAUAUAUUCUAAUGGGGGUAUUUCUUGGUUGGUCUAGUUUAUCUUAUGAACAAUUUAUGAGGAUAAAUUUUCUUUUUGUUUUUUUAACAUAAGAUGAACCUUAUUAGGAUAAGAUAGAAUCCUUUAUGUUAAGAGGGAUCUAUUUAAAAUAGAUACACUUUAAUGGAGGAUAAUCUAGGUUGUUUAGUUAUCUUAUGAAUUUUAUUUAUUUAUAUUUAUGCCUAUAUGUAUAUGCAGUUGUAAUUGUGGACAUUACUCCACAACUCAUCACACUCAAUCAAAGAUCCAAAUCAGACAUGUAUCACAAGAACAAACAUUCAAGCAUACAAAUAUUUAAAAAAAAUAGUUUUGAUUUUAUUCCUAAGAGUAGGUCUCCUAGUCCUAAAGGUCACUUCAGGCACAGGAUUUCAAAGUGUGAAAUCGACAUUUGUCUUUAGAAAAGAAAAGAUAAGUGUAAUCAGAGUAAAGCAUCAGUGGAUGAGAAAAGAUAAACGAAAGUUUAGAAAAGGGUCAAAGUAGCAAAGGUAAGUACAUAAUGGUUGUCCAGUUCUAUCUAGGUUUCGUCCUACAGUCAACAUCCUCUCUGAUACCACUUCUGUCACACCCGGGUUUCGGGGCACCGAGACCCGGGCGCGAACAUAAUCACCAGGUGUGAUGGGACCAAGUCUCACACAUAUGAUGAAUCAUGGUACAGAAACGAAUGUCACAUCAUUACUAAAUAAUAGGAGUUCUGUAUAAAAUAAAUAAAUAAUUACAUCAUAAGGAGACAAUGAUCCAGCAACCCAAAGUUGACUGGGACAUGACGGCCUAGACCUCUCAUGAACUCAUCACAACAUCCUCCAUGCGCCUCAUCCUGCGGUACCUGUUCUUGACCUGUGGGGGGUGUGAGACAGCAAGAGUGAGCUCACAUACGUUCAUCGCUCAACAAGUCGUGGGGAAUAAUGUGCAUGAACUCGCCAAAGGUGGGAGCUCAUUUGAAGUGUAAGGCUUAACAAAGAGGAUGGUUAAAGCUGAACAUUGCUUUUAAAGUUGGUCAAAAUUUUAUUAGAAAUUACUAAAUAUAAGUAGAUACCAACCCAAUUAAGUAGUAGAACAAAAGUGAUAACAACACCUGCGAUGCAAUGCAUAUGACAAAUUGAUUUUUUAUGCCAAGGCGGUGAGGCCUGGACGCGAACGGGGAAUCGAUGGGGACGGUUGACAUGUGUGGGGUCGGAGUACCCUGACAUGUCGUGUGUUUAGGUUUACCUUGCAAGGAUAAAAACUCAAUUCGAAUCGUCUGCUUCUCACAGCUAAUGAGACUGCUUGACCCCUUGUACUACAUUGAGUAAGAAGUGAAAUGAGGUUACAUGAGAUAACUUGUUGUGUGUACUAAAAUGCUUGCUACCAUGUAUGCUUAGAAGGAGCAAACUUAGUAAAGCUAAUGAUGCUAGAAAUUGAAAGGCUAAAACUUGAUUUUAGAUACAACUAGUACUUUUGGCAAACCAAACCCCUCAGCCAAACAACUGCAUGGUCUAGAGGUAGAGGAGUAGUUUCCUCACACCGGGUAAGUCUAGCUGAGUAUUAGUAUACUCAGCCUUGCUUGUGGCAUAAUUUUUGCAGGUACGCUUCAGGAUAUGGUUGAUGGUGUGACUUGGCCUACCACCCUGCCACCGGGUUGGAUGGUCGAGUGGGAUGCUGCUCCGGUAGGAGAGGAGCACGAGGAGUAGUGGGCUAGGCCUUGCCCAUUUCCUCGCUAUCGACGACAUCGAUUAUCCGCUGCAUCUUAUUUUAUGAACUCUUACGAGCAACUUGAAAAACUGCGAUUUGUGUAAUAAUUUAGUACUUAAAUUUGAGGUUUCCUGUUUUAUUGUAUUUCUUCUAUGACUCACCUUCGAGUGAGUAUGUGGUAUUUGAUCCUGGUUAAGUGGCGUUACCAGACUAGAUCUGAGGGACUGACGGGUUAUUCCGAUUUAAGUAUGUUGCGGCCCUUGAGGCGUGACUUAGGCACUUAAGCUAGAAUAAUUCAGGCGGUUCUGCCACAGCUGGUAUCAGAGCAAAUACCACCACAGAGAAGGACAAUAAACCAUGAAUACCAAUUUUCAAAAUCUAAAACUUGCUUAGAAACUGAUAAGAAUCGUCAGGACUAGAUCGCUAGACCUAGGACGAAAGGCCUUAGGAAUAGAGAGGGAAAUAGGUGGCUAAGUAAGUAGGCCCUGUGGGCGAGUCCUUAGCUUUUGAAGGAUGCCCUAGGAGCACCCUUUUAUUUCAUUCGAAGAGGAGACGUUGAUUUCAGCAUGCAUGCAUUAUUAAAACUAAAAGGAAUUAAAAAUUGAGCUAAGCCGCUUUCUUUUAAAACCAUCCAGGCUCUUUUAUUUUCUUCCUUCCACCAUAAUCUUUACCUUUGAUGCCCUUCCGCAGAUGAAUUCACCCACCCCUGCCAGCGGAGGAGACACUCGUUUUAGCUCUGACUUCCUUUCUCACGAUGGCUUUCCUUCCAUCUUGUGGGAAGUGCUUAACUCCACUGGUUACCCUACGCCCCCUUUGUACACGGUGCAGUUGUAUGAGGAGCAUCGGGUACCUCGUUGCCGAGUCUGGCUGACUUUGGAGGCUCAUCCCCUUUAGCCGGGUUGGCGUUCUCUUGACUCCAAGACGGUUGGAUUUAGGAUGGAUGACACCACUGAAGCGGCAGCCAUGAAGACUCUGACAACUUUCUGUGGCUACCAUCCCCUAGAGAUGGUGAUGCACCCCUUGGGACUCUUCCCUGCUGAGAAAAAGGAUGACCCCAUGUGGUGUAACCGUGUGAACCAUGUGAAAGAUGUGUGGGCAAUGUAUCCUGACUUGGUUGGGAGGGUCACUAUUCAGUGCAUGAGUGCGCUGUACCGCCUUCAGGCCCUGCAGAGCGACGCUAUGGCAUAUCUUGCUAACAUCGCUCAAACCACCAAGCUCACCCUCGACAGCCGAGAAAACUUUGUGGUCGACUUGUCCUCCGAGUUGGUGGAAAAGGAUUUGCAGGUGGAAAGGCUGAGCCAGCGCAUUACCACCUUGGAGCAGCAGGUGGAGAUUCGAGACAACACUAUUGAUGUCUUGGAGAACCAGCUCCACGAUGUGCAGCGGGAACUCGAAGAAGCAAAUGACCACCUGGACAUGCACCACUUGGGAAUGGAGGCCAAUGAGGCUGGAAGCGAGGGAGAAGAGGCUCUCGAGGAGUUAGGACUAGCCCCUGGUGCCAACGGGAUUACCUCCGCGAUGCCCCCUUCACCCGCAUCCAGUGUCGCUUUCACCACUCAGGGUUGAUCAGUCACUUUGACGCUUUAGGCAGAUAGGAACCUACGUGAGCUUAGUUAAUGACAGAUUUUGGACUAGGCUUACGGGUACUUUCCCCUAAUUGAUGUAACCCUUAUGAACUUUCGAAAUCUGUGGGAUGUUUGUAACCAUGUUACCUUCAUUUCGAACCUAAUAUUAUAAUUAUGGCAUUUUUCCUUCCAUAUGAGAUAAUAGCAUGUCGUUCGAAAUUGUGAGUUGGGAUAACAAUGGUGGCAACCUCUGUUUUCAGAUGGCAGCUAGGCAGCGUCGCGGGCAUAACGAGCAAGUUCCCCCGCCACCUCCUCCAGCUCCCACAGUGUAGGAGCUGAUGGCCCAGCAGAAUGAGAUUCUGCGACAGCUCUUGCAGCGUCAGCCCCACCCUCAGCAGCAUGGUGGAGGCCAGCAUCAGCGACCUCCGGCAGAGGCAACCUACCAGGAGUUCUUGAGUACACAGCCACCCUUGUUCACCAAGGCAGAAGAUCCAUUGGACGCCGACGUAUGGCUCCGCGUCGUUGAGUCCAAGUUUCCCCUCCUCACGGGAGAUUGCCCUAGUGAAACCAAGGCUCGCUUCGCCGCGCAGCAGCUUCGCGGCCCUGCUCGGACUUGGUGGGACCACUUCCGUGCUAUGCUCCCCGCUGAUCAUGAAGUGUCUUGGGAGGAAUUCAAGACUGCUUUCAAAGGGCACCACAUCCCAGCCGAAAUUCUUGAUCGAAAGCUGAAUGAGUUUCUGGCACUUAAUUAAGGAACCGGCCCGCACGGUAUUGCAGUACGCUCAGGCCUUCAAUGACCUGUGCCAGUAUGCAGGUAACCAUGUUGAUUCUGAUGAGAGGAAGAGAGACCACUUCCGCAGAGGUCUCAACACCAAGCUGCGGGAACGUCUCAACACUGUCUGGGCUGAUAGCUUCAAUGAGUUGGUCAACCUAGCCAUCUCCCAGGAGGACUGUAUUGUAGCUCACCGGGCAGAGAAGAAGAGAAAGGCACUAAUGGCAGCACCAUCCGCUCAGGACUAGUGGUUCAGGAUUGUUUCUCACAACCAGAGCAGGGGAUUUCAGCAGCAGGCAGGUAGAUGGGUGAUCAGGCCACCUCAGCAGCAGCAACCGACACCCAUUCGUUUUCUAGCUCCCGCUCCAAGGAACAAUCAGCCUCUGCAGCAGCAGUAGUUCCGCCAGGGCAAUGGGAACAAGUGCUUCACUUGUGGCAAUGUGGGCCACUAUGCCAAGAAUUGCCCAAGAAAUCGGCAGAGGCAGAUGCCAGCACCAAAUCAAGACAAGGGAAGAAAGCAGAAGAUACAAGUCAGGCAAGGGAAGCUCAACUUCACUACUCUGGAGGAAGUACCUGAGGGAGCCCCCAUCAUGACCGGUAUCUUUUCAGUUUAUAAUCAACCUGCUUUAAUUCUGUUUGAUUCUGGUGCAUCUCAUAGUUUCAUUAGCCAAAGGUUCAGUACUAAAUGUCAAUUGCCUUUCUAUCACUCAAAAGGGUCGUUUAUGAUAGCCACACCUGGGGUAAAAUUGCAACUAAUCAAUUAAACCAAAGUGUGCCUAUUCAACUAGGAAGCCACAUUGUCAAAACCACCCUUCUUGUUUUGGGUUUGGAAAAUGUGGACAUUAUUCUGGGAGCUAAUUGGAUGACCCUGCACCAAGUAGUGCUUGAUGUAGCCAGCCGCAUCGUGGAAAUCAAUUCCCCGUUCUGUGGGAGUUUCACCUUAAUUCUGCCCAGUCAAGAUUCUACUCAGUCAUGUGCUUUUUCUAUGACGGAGUUACCCUUGAAGAAGAUUCCAGUGGUUUGUGAGUAUGCAGAUGUCUUUCCUGAUGAAUUGCCAGGAAUGCCACCAGACCGGGAUAUUGAAUUCGCCAUCGAGUUGCAACCGGGAACGACACCUAUUUCCAAGAGGCCUUACCGGAUGCCACCAGCUGAGUUGGCAGAAUUGAAAAAGCAAUUGCAAGAGUUGCUAGACAAAGGUUUUAUUCACCCAAGUACUUCGCCUUGGGGAUGUACAACCUUGUUUGUAAAGAAGAAAGAUGCAAGCUUGAGGCUGUGUAUAGAUUACCGCCCACUUAAUGCAGUGACUAUCAAGAACAAGUAUCCUUUGCCUCGUAUUGAUGUACUUUUUUAUCAGUUGGUCGGAGCCAAAGUGUUUUCCAAGAUAGACCUUCGCUCCGGCUACCAUUAGAUCAAGAUAAGAGCAAGCGAUAUUCCGAAGACGACUUUCUCAACCAGAUAUGGGCUAUAUGAAUUCUUGGUGAUGUCUUUUAGGUUGACUAAUGCACCAGCAUAUUUCAUGUAUCUGAUGAAUUCUGUUUUCAUGCCCGAAUUGGACAAAUUUGUAGUGGUUUUCAUCGAUGAUAUCUUGGUGUACUCAAAGAACGAAGAAGAACAUGUCGGGCAUUUGCAUGUAGUGCUUCAACGUCUACGAGAGCACCACCUUUAUGCCAAGUUGUCAAAAUGUGAUUUUUGGCUAAAGGAGAUCAAAUUCUUGGGUCACACUAUCUCUCAGGCAGGAAUAGCUGUUGAUCCUGAUAAGGUGCAAGAGGUGAUGAACUGUAAGCCACCAACGACUGUCCGUCAGAUUCGGAGUUUUCUAGGAUUAGCUGGUUAUUACCGAAGAUUCAUUCCGGAUUUCUCUCGAAUUGCGAAGCCCAUAACUGAGCUGUUGAAGAAAGAAGCCAAGUUUGUUUGGGGUCAGAAGUGCGAAGAUGUGUUCCAUGCAUUGAGGCAACAUCUGACCACAACACCGGUGUUAGCGCAACCCGACAGCAGCAAGCCAUUUGAUGUGUAUUGUGAUGCCUCUGGCACUGGACUAGGUUAUGUCUUGAUGCAAGACAACCGAGUCAUUGCUUAUGCCUCAAGAGCACUCAAGCCUCAUGAGCAGAAUUAUCCCACUCAUGACCUGGAGUUGGCAGCAAUGGUUCAUGCAUUAAAAAUGUGGAGGCACUAUUUGAUGGGAACCCACUUCAACGUCUUCACUGAUCAUAAGAGCCUUAAGUAUAUCUUUACUCAGGCUGAUCUCAACAUGAGACAGAGAAGAUGGCUAGAGCUGAUCAAGGACUAUGACCUGGAGGUACAUUAUCACCCAGGAAAGGCCAAUGUGGUAGCAGAUGCCUUGAGUCGGAAGUUGCAAUGCAACUAUGUUGUGAUGGAUUCUCGUAUUGACACCUUGUGUGAUGAGUUGAGCAAGAUGCAAAUUGAAGUGAUUCCUUCUGGUGCUUUGUCUCACCUUUCCGUUGAGCCAGCUUUGCAAGACCAGAUCAUCAUGGCCUAGCUCAGUGACAAGGGAGUGCAAAUUAUUAAGGAGAAUCUCCAUCAGAAGACCGAGAAGUAUAAAUGUUUCCGCCAAGAUGGAAAGGGUAUAUUGUGGUUUGAAAGCAGAUUGGUGGUUCCUAAAAACAAGGAUCUCAAGAAGAAAAUCUUGGACGAGGCCCAUCUCUCCAAAUUCUCUAUGCAUCCAGGAAGCACCAAAAUGUACCAUGAUCUGAAGCCCUUGUAUUGGUGGACCAGAAUGAAGAGGGAGAUGGCCCAAUAUGUAUCGGAAUGUGACACCUGUCAGAGGAUAAAGGCCAGCCACUUGAAAUCAGCUGGAGCUUUGCAACCCAUGUCUAUACCUUCGUGGAAAUGGGAUGACAUCAGCAUGGAUUUCGUCGUGGGUCUGCCCAACACCUCUCGUCAUCAUGAUUCGAUUUGGGUUAUUGUGGACCGACUGACGAAAGUGGCACAUUUUCUCCCUGUGCACACCACUGAUAAGGCUCAAAAGUAUGCAGAGUUGUACAUUGACCGGAUCGUGUGUUUGCACGGAUUGCCUCGGACCAUUGUUUCUGACCGAGGAGCCCAAUUUGUUGCCAGAUUUUGGGAACAACUGCAGGAGUCUUUGGGAACCAAGCUAAUCAGAAGUUCACCUUACCACCCGCAGACUGAUGGUCAGACUUAGAGGGUGAAUCAAAUUCUUGAAGAUAUGCUGAGAGCUUGUGCAAUCAAUUGUGGCAAGAACUGGGAUAAGCACCUCUCCUUGGCAGAGUUUGCUUAUAACAACAGUUAUCAAUCCAGCCUAAGGAUGGCACCCUUUGAAGCUCUCUAUGGAAGAAGGUGUAGAACACCACUCAAUUGGUCUCAGCCUGGAGAAAGAGAAGUUUUCGGACCUGACUUAGUGACUGCAGCCGAAAGGAAGGUCAAACUAAUCAGGAAGAAUCUAGAAGCUGCUCAGGCCAGGCAGAAGAUUUACCAUGAUAAGAGAAGGAAACCUCUCCAGUUCGAGGUGGGAGAUUUCGUGUAUUUGAAAGUAUCACCCACCAAGGGAAUGCAGGGGUUUGGAAUCAAAGGCAAGUUAGCCCCUCGUUACAUUGGACCUUAUAAGAUCAUAGAAGCAUGUGGACCUGUGGCAUAUAAAUUGAAGUUACCUCCAAAAAUGUCUGCCAUCCACAAUGUGUUCCAUGUAUCUCAGCUGAAGAAGUGUGUUCGAUUGCCGACCGAGAUCAUAGCAGAACCAAAAUUGGAGAUAGAGCCAGAUCUAUCGUACCAAGAGUACCCUUCCAAGAUUCUGGAUUGCAAGGAAAGAUCAACUCGGGCAAAAUCGAUCAAGAUGUAUAAGAUCCAAUGGAGUAAUCACUCAGAGGAAGAGGCUACUUGGGAGACUGAGGAAUUCUUGCGAUCUAACUUCCCCGAUUGCCUUCCUAAGGAAAUUGGUAUGUAAUCAUGCCCAACCCCUCCUCCUGCCCUUCGAAUCUAAAUUUCAGAAAUAUGAUCUUAAAUCAGAAUGAAGUAAUUAUGAAACAAAAUUUAAAAGGACUUCCUUAUGAAGUUGCAAAGAGAAUGACAUUCGAAGAGCAGUUUGCCCUAAUAAUAGAGCACCCACUUCCUGUGAGUCUCACCCUUCGCUUCACCCCGGGAGGACUCUGACCUGAAUCUCGGGGCGAGAUUCCUUAAGGGGGGAAGGCUGUGACACCCCAGUGUCACCUAGGGUUUCUCUCAGUGCUAACCCAAGAAUCAACAUUUCAUGUGAGCCAAAUUGAGCAUGAAGGAUCAAAUUAACUUAAGAAUAAAAGAUCUACUAAGUGUAUAUCUAACAAAUCAUGUUCCAAACAAAUAAGAUUUUCAAAAGGGGAAAAUGUUAAAACCCUAACACCAACCCUAAUCAAGCUAUCUAAGUAGAGAUAAAGAAAAGGGGUAAAAGACCAUGAAAAAUAUAAAAUCAUGGUUUAGGCCAAUUAUAAACAUUGAAAUAUACUAAAUAAGCUACAAUAAAGAUUAUGAAAGCUUGGCCAAAAUAGUUUAAUAAAAACUCCAAACAAGCUUUUUAAGUGGAGAUUCAAUAGGGAUUUCUGAAAUUCAGAUUUCUGAAUUUUAGCCCUUGAGCCAAAGACCGAGCGUGUUCACCUUGAUCCCUAGCUCAAAUCCUAAUGACCCCAUUGAAAAAAUGUGCCUAACUAACCCCUCUACCUCAUACCAGAAGAUGGCAUCGGGACGCGUGCUCUGAACACGUCAAACACGGGAUCUUCUCUCUGCGCGCGGCAGUGAGACAAACCCGAUUUCUUCCCUCUCUAUCUCUUAAUCCAGUCAGCAAAACCUGCAAGCCUCCACACACAAACGACAAAGGAAUGUCAGGGGAAGAGAUCUCCCAACGGGAUCAUGGCCAUAAUCUCAAAGAUUUGGAGCCAAUUCGUGCUUGAACUCGACCUCUCUGCGCUGCCUCGUGCUCGACGCUGUGCCAGGCGCCAGAGCGCACACUGGCGUUCGCCCGCGCACGCCCCGAGCACUUGUCAGAGCCUCACCCUCGGCCGUGCCCGCCCGCUCCUAUAAAGCCUCCCCGGGCGCGCCUCACCUCACCCCGUGCUCACCUUCGCCGGCCAGACACCCCUCCUUAGCUCCGGCGAGCUCUCUUCCGCCCGCCAUUGCCACCCGAGCCUCGGCCACCGUGGCCAGCCCACCCUGGUCACUUCCAAGCCCCGCCUGCCCCUCGGUUAGCUUCGCUGGUAGCUCGUGAAGCUUCCUAAGCUCUCGGACCCGGCAGAACUUCACCGGAGAACCAAGAUCAUCCUCGCCAGACUUCGGCCGCCCGCCUGCGCGCGUAGACCGAGCAAUCCGGUGAAUCGUUCUUCAAUUCCUCACACACACACCUUCCUUGAUCCUUGGUGAAGCUCUGUGACCCAUUUGAUUGAUCAAUUGUGCCUUGGUUAGGCCGGACUCCUCACCGCCGACGAGCUCCCCUGCCUGCGCACGUGGACCGGCCGACUCCGACCAUCCCCGACGGCGACCCGCACAUCGCCGUGACCCUCAGGACCUCCCCUACACCCUCGACCACCUCACCGGAGCAGUCUCGCCGCCGGUAAGCCCCUCCACCCUUUCCUCCGCCGCGAGAACUGUUUAAUUCCGGGAAGGACCUCAGGUUAGGUUUAGUGGAACCCCAGGGGGUUUUCUGAACUGUCAGUGGCACAUUUGAAUAGUAACCUAAGGACUAGUCUGUAAGGGAAAUUGAAAACACCUGCCAGGGACCCCGAUGCAAAGACGUUUCCCAUUUAAUCAUUUCUGUUUAAUCUUUUUAAUGAACAGAGAACUUAGGAAAUUCAUAACUUGAGAAAUAUUUAACCAAAAAUUGUCAAACCAAUUUUACUGGAUUCUAAAUAUUAUGGACUACCAAUUAAAUUUACUGAACCCCAUGCUUUCUGUUUUAAAUUUUAGAAUUUGAAAUUAAUUACGGAAACUGACCAAACCUUAUUAAAUUAAAGAAAAUUAGUUAUGCUUCUGUGCUGAACCUAAGGAAAUUUGUAGAUGUUCAAACCCCAUUUAAACACUGUUUAAAAAUAGUGAGAACCCCCAGUAUUGAAAAUUUAAGAAGGGAUAUCUAUUAAAAGCCAUUUUUGCCUAAAACUUAGGAAAAUCAGAAAGGCGUUAGAAAAUAAUGAACAAUGAGUGCAAAUAUUUUUCCAAGCCUACUUAAGUAACAGAAAAUCUAUGAAAAAUAAAGGGAUCUCUAGUCCAGAACAGAAUCAAAGUGAAAUGUCUUAUUAGGUAUUAAUCAAACCAAAAAAACAAUUAUUAUAAUUAUAAAAACAAUUUCAAAAUUAAUUAUAAAAAUCCAGUGGACUUGUAACCAUUAGAACUCCACCACAAAAAUGAUAAACACCCCAGCCCAUCAUUUUAGGUAGGGUAAACAAAAAGAACUUGAUAAUGGGUCAUAUUUCAAUUAAAUCAUGAGCAACCCAAAAAUGGUGCAAUAAUGGGCAAAUAAAAUUUUUCUAGAUCAAUAAUGAGAUAGGCCACCAGAGAAAAAUACAAAACCCAAUUGGAAGCUGCAAAAUAAUACCCAUUGCCAUACUUCAUGAAAAAGACCAUUUAAUCCAAAUAAUUCCUACCACCCUUCCCUUAAGCAAAAAGAUGCCAAACUUCAGAAUGAUUGCUCUUGCACAAAGAAGAAGCUAGGAAAAAUCAGAAAUAUGUUGUUUGAUAUUUUUCAAAUAUAGUGGUAGUAGAAAGCACCCCUUUGACUAGAAACUUUAGAAAAUCAUAGUAAAAUGACUAAAGGAUAUUAGUGGCUAAAAGUUUGUACAAAGUCAUGUCAUAAUAUCUAAAUGCCAGCAAAAAUAAGUCUUAGAGAAUAACCUACUGUUAAAUGGUAGUUGUAGUUCAAUACACCCCUUCUGCCCUAAUGUUUGAUAAUUUUAUCCAGAGAGAACUAUUCACUCUUUAAGCCCCAAAUUUUAGGACAGAGAAUUAUACACCAGUAAGAAGCCACUGUAAUGUUUACAAAUUUUUUGGAAAUUUAUUAAGACAACUUGUAGUUCAAACCCACUUUAAAAACAUAAAAGAAAUAAAGGGAAAGAAAUGAAAGAUAAACCUCGCCCCAAUAAGUUCAACUAGAAAUCUUGGCAAAUUCUCACUAAGGCUUUAAAAAGAAUUCAGUGGAACACCAAAAUGGACUUACCACUUUGUUUAACUGAGUGUGAUCUAAAUUACUAAGUACACCACCAAAAAUCUUUAGUAGCAAGAUGAAACUCUAUCUGAUUUAAGUGGAUCAUUCACCAUCAAAGUUUAAUUGCUAAAGCACAUAUCAUAUCAUGCAUGUAUCUUACUCAUUGCAUUCAUUAGAUUGUAAUCUCGCUGACGGAGAGUACGUGCGCAUCCCCGAGCAAGAAACUGUCCAAGAGGAAAACCAGGAGCAAGCUCCCGAGGCUGCCAUCGAGGAUCUCCCUGCAGCCCCAGCUAUUGAAGGCAAGCCCCAGUUUUAUGCAUAACUGUAUUUAUAUAUGCUACUUUACUACACUUAAUGCUUGUAGGAUUGUAUUGUGCACUUAAGUGUAGGAGUUGCUUGAAACCUCUAGUUGCAUGAACUUAGGAUUCCUUUUUGAGAUGGAUACUAGUAUGCUAGGUCGAGUAGCUGCUUUGCUAAUCAGGAUCUCGGUAGAAGUCGAGUGAUUUUUCUAGCACUCGCGCGAGGUCAGGAAUUGAUUGUAUUCAUCUUGAUAACGAGAUCUAUGUUAGUUUAUGGACUUGGAUCUAGGGAGGAUGCCUUGUCCAUGAGACGGGAAAAAGGAAUUAAGGAUUAAUGUGUGGAUACCUGAGUCAAGUUUUUGAACGUACUAAACACAUGUCGGGAAAUAUGGUAACCGAUAAACCUAGUACCUGAGUGAAGCCGGGCGCGGACUUUAUCCCUCACGCGACCUGAGACUGGGUCUCCCAUGCUAGCUAUGGUGGGUACAAGUGUGGUCACUGCACGACGACAGCCGGGGUCAGUGGAGCAUUAUAUGCCAAGGCGGUGAGGCCUGGACGCGAACGGGGAAUCGAUAGGGACGAUUGACAUGUGUGGGGUCGGAGUACCCUGACAUGUCGUGUGUUUAGGUUUACCUUGCAAGGAUACAAACUCGAUUCGAAUCGUCAGCUUCUCGCAGCUAAUGAGACUGCUUGACCCCUUGUACUACAUUGAGUAAGAAGUGAAAUGAGACAUGAGAUAACUUGUUGUGUGUACUAAAAUGCUUGCUACGAUGUAUGCUUAGAAGGAUCAAACUUAGUAAAGCUAAUGAUGCUAGAAAUUGAAAGGCUAAAACUUGAUUUUAGAUACAGCUAGUGCUUUUGGCAAACCAAACCCCUCAGCCAAACAGCUGCAUGGUCUAGAGGUAGAGGAGUAGUUUCCUCACACCGGGUAAGUCUAGCUGAGUAUUAGUAUACUUAGCCUUGCUUGUGGCAUAAUUUUUGCAGGUACGCUUCAGGAUAUGGUUGAUGGUGUGACUUGGCCUACCACCCUGCCACUGGGUUGGACGGUCGAGUGGGAUGCUACUCUGGCAGGAGAGGAGCACGAGUAGUGGGCUAGGCCUUGCCCAUUUUCUCGCUAUCGACGACAUCGAAUAUCCACUGCAUCUUAUUUUAUGAACUCUUACCAGCAACUUGAAAAACUCUGAUUUGUGUAAUAAUUCAGUACUUAAAUUUGAGGUUUCCUAUUUUAUUGUAUUUCUUUUGUGACACGCCUUCGAGUGAGUAUGUGGUAUUUGAUCCUGGUUAAGUGGCUUUAUCAGACUAGAUCUGAGGGACUGACGGGUUAUUCCGAUUUAAGUGUGUUGCCGCCCUUGAGGUGUGACUUAGGCACUUAAGCUAGAAUAAUUCGGGCGGUUCUGCCACAGAACAGUACCCCCGUACUGUACACGCUGACUUGUAUUCAUUUGUGUGUCACACUUGGACUUUUACCUUCUAUCAAUCCGAAGGUACAAAUGUAAUUCAAUAUUGUUUCUGUUUAUCCAUGUUAAUAAGAAGAAGAUAUAUUAAUAAUGUCAUAUGAUUAUUCAUGUUGUCUCUUAUAUUUCAUAUGUUUCUUCUUUCAUUAACAUGUUCUGCGAUGAUGAAGGUAUGUCCUUCAUGACCUUCGUCUGAAAAUCAUUAUAUCCUAAGGGAAAUAAUGCUUCGAAGGACGAAUGACUUUUAACCAUUAACAUUUGUGUUGCCUUGUUCUUAACUCAUAGCAUUUGAGAACAAGUCCCCAACACCCACAUACCUCUAUCCCUUGGUUAAGUACCCUAUUCUAGGGUUUAGAAGCACUUCAAGUCAUCACAUCACAACUUGUUUUUGAAGUUUUAGCCUAGUGGAUGCAUUCUAGGUGUAACAAACAUAAUGACAUGUAAAUGCAUAUGAUGUCAUGUCCAAAUUUUAGUUCUUGUAACACCAAGGGUGUUACAUCCUUCCCCCCAUAAAAGAAUCUUGUCUCGAGAUUUAAGGUCCUAGGGUAAGUAAUGGAAAAGGAAACGUGUCACAACUUUAUUUCCUUAUUUAUCUUACAGAGCAGGGGGUGGGGUGAGGUUUGUUCCAUCUUUACAGUAAAGUACAUAAAUCUUACAGGUUACAUGAAGCUAAAAACCUAGGAAUUUUUUUUCUAAAAAGUCUUGAGUCUCCCAGGUAGCUUCUUCUUCAGUGUGUUGGUUCAGUUGUACCUUAUAAAACUUUAGAGUCCUCUUUCGAGUGAUUUUGUCCUUCUGAUCCAGAACUCAAAUGGGAUGUUCUAAAUAAGUCAAGUCUGGUUCCAAAGUAACAUCCACCACAUCUACAGUUCGAUCAGGAAUCCGAAGGCAUUUCUUCAAAUGAGAUAUAUGUAACACAUUAUGCACCGCAGACAAUGAUUCUGGUAAUUGAAGUCUUUACGCCAUUUGUCCACAUCGCUCAAGAAUGAGGAAUGGGCCAAUAUAUCGGUGUGCCAAUUUUCCUUUAACCCCAAACCGGCGAACACCCUUCAUCGGUGAUACUUUCAGGUAUACAUAAUCGUCGGCUUGAAAAACCAAAGGUUGACAUCGUUUAUCCGCAUAGUUUUUCUGUCGAGCUUAAGCUUCUUUCAGAUUGUGCCUUAUACGUUGGACUUUUUCUUCCGUUUCUUUAACCAAGUCAGGCCUGAAAAACCACUGUUCUCCGGGUUCUGACCAAUUUAAGGAUGUUCUACAUCGUUGUCCGUACAGAGCUUCAAACGGUGCCAUCUUAAUACUUUCUUGAUAACUAUUAUUAUAGGAAAAUUCUAUCAAUAGCAGACAAUCAUCCCAUUUCUAUGGAAAUUCUAGGACACAUGCUCGCAACAUAUCUUCAAGUAUUUGAUUCACCCUCUCAGUUUGUCCACUUGUCUGAGGAUGAUAGGCUAAACUGUGGAGUAAUUUAGUACCCAAAGAUUUGUGCAACUCCUCCCAAAACUUGGAUACAAAUUGCGGUCCCCGGUCCAACACUAUCAUCUUUGGAACUCCAUGCAAACUGACAAUACGAGCCACAUAUAUCAGAGCAUAGGUGAUGACCAGGUAUAUAUUUUGACUGGCAGGAAAUGAGCUGUCUUUGUAAGCCGGUCGAUCAUGACCCAGAUAGAAUCAAAUCCUUUAGCGGUCUUGGGAAAUCCCACAAUGAAACCCAUACUGAUAUCUUCCUAUUUUCAAGUUGGGAUUGGCAAAGAUUAUAACGGUCUAGCGGCCUUUAUAUGUAUCGCCUUGACACGUCUACAAGUGUCGCAUUUUUCCACAUAGCGUGUGAUUUCAAUUUUCAUUCUUGUCCACCAAUAAUGUUGUUUCAAGUAUUGAUACAUCUUAGUGCUUCCAGGAUGAAUGGAAUACCGACUAAGAUGAGCUUCGUCCAAGAUUUGUUGAUGGACUUCUGCAUCCUUUGGCACCACUAUGUGGUCUUUAAACCAUAUUAAUCCUUGAUCAUCUUUCCUAAAACAAUUAGCCUUGCCGACCUCCAUUUUCUCAUGAAUAUAUUUCAUACCCUUGUAUGUGCUUUGAGCAUCAAUAAUCCUUUGUAGAAGAACUGACUCAAGCUUCAAAUGUGUCAAAGUUCCUUGUUGUACAAUCGCUAGAUUCAACUUUUCUAUUUCUUGACAUAAAGUGGUGUCAGGUGUCCUUACUGUGAAACAAUGACAAGAAGCCUUGCGACUUAAAGCAUCUGUCACCACAUUAGCUUUUCAUGGGUGAUAAUUUCUCCGAGUCAUAAUCUUUGAUUACCUCGAGCCACCUUCUUUGCCUCAUAUUUAGCUCUAACUGGGUGAAGAUAUACUUCAAACUCUUAUGAUCCGUAUAUAAGUGACAUAUAUUCCCAGUAGAUAAUGAUGCCAAAUCUUAAGGGCAUGAACUACUGCAGCCAAUUCGAGAUCAUGGGUUGGAUAAUGUUCCUCAUGCCGACACAACUGUCUUGAAGCAUAAGCUAUUACUCGUCCUUCUUGCAUCAGGACACAUCCAAGUCCACUGUCUGACGUGUCACAAUACACAUCAAAUGACUUUUCAAUAUCCUGUUGGGCCAAAACCGGUGCAGUGGUCAACAAUACUUUCAGUUGUUCAAAGGCCUCGUUGCACUUAGAGGACCAGUCAAACUUAGUAUCAUUCAUCAAUAACCCAGUAAUGGGUUUAACAAUCUUGGAGAAAUCCGGAAUAAAUCUGCGGUUAUAACCAGCCAAUUCAAGGAAACUUCGAACUUGAUGCACUGUAGUGGGUGAUUUCCAUUCUAGAAUAUCCUUGACCUUGCUGGGAUCGACCACAAUUCCUUUAGCAGACAAAACAUGUCCAAGAAAUUGGAUUUCUUCCAACCAGAACACGCAUUUACUGAAUUUGGCAUAAAGUUGAUGUUCUCUUAGAUGGUUAACACAAUCCGCAAGUGUCUUGCAUGCUCCUCCUCAUUCUUGGAAUAUAUUAAAAUAUCAUCAAUUAAGACCACCACAAACUUGUCUAACUCGGGCAUGAAUACCGAAUUCAUCAAGUAUGUGAAGUGGGCUGGAGCAUUUGUUAAUCCGAAAGACAUAACCAAAUAUUCAAAUAACCCAUACCGAGUGGUGAAUGCGGUCUUGAGUAUAUCCUCGGGUCGAAUUCGGAUCUGAUGAAAGCCCGAUCUAAGAUCAAUUUUAGAAAACACUCGGGCUCCAGUGAGUUGAUCGAAUAGAAUAUCGAUCCGAGGGAGAGGAUACUUGUUCUUAACUACUACUUCCUUCGUGCCUGGAAGCUAGCUGAUGUUGUGGCACGCCAAAAGGUCUAGUAGAUUUGCGCGCUGUUUUCCUAGUAUGCGCCAUAUCUCCAUAAGAUUUAUUAGUAUAUUCUUAGACAUGAUGCAUGCAUAACCUGAUAAUUAUGGAAUCGACCUUCGUUGAUCCCCAACUUCUUAUAUAUUGCACUCUGUUACCCAACUAUACAAGAUAAGGGACUACCAGAAAGUGGUAAGGUAAGAAUGAAAGAAUAUUUCUAGGUAAGUGUUUAAAAAUUCUUUUGAAGUAUUACGUAAUAUCUGAGAAGAUGGGUUUCGCUCCGAUACCAGCUGUUACGGAACCUCCCAACGAAUUAGGCCUACCUACAGUUGUCCUUGUCCUAAGGACCUUGGACAACCCUAUAGAUGCACAUAAUCACUCGACAAGUUCGGUAACUGUAUCCUCAACAUUUUGCCCAAGAGCGCUUCACCUGUCACGUAGAUAUUACAUCACAUCGGAGGAAAGAAUAAGAGGAAGCAAAUUACAAUAACUUAAUUUACAUUCAUCAAUAUAGAGAGGGUGUAUUAUUAUUACAAAACCAGGAUAUUACAGUGCAUAGAAUAUUAUUACAGACCAGGGAGGCAAAACACCCUCCCACACACAAGUUUAUUGUUUUCAAAGUGGGAGGCCAACAUCCUCCCGCGACCAACUUCACUGCUGGGGCUCUUCCUUGGGUACCGCCUUUGAACAGAAACAACAAAACUCUGUUGUUUCCUCAACUACAACAACAUGGGUUCGAAAACCCUAAGUACGGAGUGUACUUUCACAACUCUUACCCGACAAAAGAAAAAAAGACUCUCAAGGAUAUGCUAGCUUGAGGGAGUCAAGGAAAGGCUAUUCAAGAAUCAAAGACUCUGUUUGCAGAAAUGCUUACUAAUAGUGGAUCUUUAAAAAUCCAGUUUUAUUGCCAGGUUAAGUCAUUACCUGUAUCUAGAGUUAUUUCUACGCUAGUUCAAGCACUUGGCCUAUACUAGCCGUCUUUUAUCAACCCUUCAUUUCACUGGAUUGCUACGUGUAGGGCAGUGACCAAGUCUUCGUAUCUGAGAAGUAACGGCGAUCCGAAUCGAUUAAUACCUAGCUGGGGAUCUCCAACCACACGACAUAUGUAGCACUUAACCCUUGCAUAUGUCAACUUGCCACAGGGUUUCUCAAGACCAGACCGGGUUCACGCCAACCGAGAGCACAUAUACACCACCGUCCAGCCUCUUGCCAUGGAGGGUACACGCUACUCUCGCCAUCUCUCCACUCCCAUUGUGUGUUGGCCUUUCCGGUAUUGGUCUCCCCGAGGCAAAGCUUACCCAUGACAAGGCAUGUGGCCAGCUAAAAGGUCCUCAAUCAGCAAGCCUACAUCGACACGGUCCUUAAUCGACUCAGAUGGAGACACUACACCGAGACUUCCUUCUCAUGCAAGUCACCCGCUCGGUCUCGUCUUUAUCAUUUUCAGUCCCAAAACUUGGUACCUGACAGAGGUACAUCUUGUCCGAUGUUGAACCCAUCACGGCCAUGAUGGAUCCACCAUCAAGUUUUAUUUUUGAAAACCUCCCAUUCCAUCUAAAGCAUCAUCUUUUGUUAAAACCAAAACAUUUUUGUUUUCUAAAGAAAGACUAAGCAUCAGAAAACUUUUUAACAAAACAGGUAAUCAAGGAAGGGUAAACAGCUCCAAGGAAGGAUAUGCAGCAAUUGGUUUAGCACUCAACUCCUAUCACCUAAUGCAUCAUUCAAGUGAUAAAGAGUUUAAAAUCAUAAGGAAAAGGUAAAUGCAUCGGGGCUUGCCUUGUGUUGUAGGGGAUUCGGGAUCUGUUCCACAAAUAUCGAAAUAAAAACUACUCCCGGUAGGUAGAGUCUCAGUUGGUGGUGCAGUCUCUUCUUCUUCGACACUCACUUCUUCUUUGUUUUCUAUACACAACCAUAUAUAUACAUGAAUGCUCAUGUGAUGCUAUGAAUAUGCAGUUACGAUAAAACAUGGUAAGUUAUAUCUUGAAUAUAACUUUCCUUCAUGGUACUCCUGGGUAACUAGGGUUUUCUGAGUUAGUGCUUUAUUGGGAUACGUCAAUUAUUACCUAAGAAAGCUAGGGUUUUGGGUUUGGGAAUCAAACAAUGUCCAAAACAUACCAAAUUUUACCCAAUGGCUCUAAUUAUCAAAUCAAGUUUAUACAAAAAGUUUUAUGAUUAUUGGAACUACCAAUUGAAUUCUAAAAUUCUAAAGGACAAGCUUUAGGCAUUAUUAAUUGUUAAAUAAUUCCUAGUUGGGACUAAAAAUCUUGGAACUAUUUUUAUUAAAUACUAGGGGAAUUUAGGAGUCUAGUAAAAUUGGUCCCAUGAUUUUAUCCUUUUUUUCUAGAAUUUCCUAUAAAUUCCCUAAGUCUGGCAUAAAAUAAAAGGGAAAUGAUGAACAGUGAUGGGCUGAAACCAGCCCGAGUCGGCCCACGUCCAGGCGAAACUUGCCCGUGCGCGCUGGCUAUUUUGCACUGAGGACCCUGACUGUUCGAAUAUCUGAUGAAGAGUCCCUAGUUACUAUUCACUGUCUCACUACCAAGUGCACCGAGCCCCUUCUUCUUUCUUAUCUUCGCAAACUCGGGUCCCCGACGAUGGACGACGGCGUGCGUAGUCCGGAGAACUCACACCGGCCGUGAUACGCAAUAAUCAGCGCCCUAAUAUGGUCUACGCCUAAUUCAGACCUUGGCAACUAACUGGGAACCACUAAUUUAAACCGAAUGAUGCCCUAAAGCUUGUUCUACAUACACCCCGCAGAGAUGGAGUCUUUCCCGUUGUGUUCAUGACGAUAUAGUACAUCAACAUCCAAAUUAAGGGCACGGUAAGCUUUAGUGACAUACUAGAGCUCAAGAACGGUAGCUAGGAAGGCGGGUGAAGGGACAGGACAGUGGGUCGACGGAGGGGUGCCCACGGCAGUGCGGAAAACGGAAUUACUCGGGCUAUGGUGGAUGACUGGCCGAGGUUAGAGUUGCACUAGGCUCGUGAUGAGGAGACGAAGCAAGGGAGGUACUAAAUUUAUAGAGGUUGACCACGGUUAUUCCGAAUUUGGGAAGAGAGCGAAGCACGGCUGCGACAAGACAUUGUACUGGCGGGUCCGUCGUGGCGCCAGCAGGUGCAAUGGCUCCGAAAUGGCAAGUCCGGGCGUGCCACGGUUACUACUACGUGGUAAAGGGCUACGGCGUGGCGUAAUUGAGGUCGUCGGCGUACCACGACGACACCAGCGGCUCGGCCACGUCGCACGUCUACAGGCGCAAUCGAUAAGUUUCACCCCGCGACCAAAUCCACCCCCCCGAGAUCUUUUACUCCCCCACCGUUAUCCACUGCGUGGCAAGCACGAAUCUCCCCCAGCGAACUCGGAUCUUGGCACGAGCUCACCGGCGACGAUACACUGAACCUGGCAUUCGGGUUUAGGCUACUGUAUCAUGGCCUUCUUCAUCAGAAGUUCUGAUAGAGCAAAUCAAGGCGCUUGGUUCUCCAAUUUUUGUGUGGCGACUUGUUAAUCUAUCCAUAACAAAGUUGUUGUCCUAUAAUCCCACUUUAAUUUUGUUAUAGUAACCAUACCCAAUCAAUCACUGGAUCCUACUCGAAUUCAAUGUCAAAGUUCCUCUAGCUUCACUGGUGAUCAUAAUUUAGUCCAAGGGCUGACUGACAGCCCAACUUCAAGCCCAAUUAUCUCCUAUUUUUGUACAGCACCAAUGUCUAAUCACUUAAUCAAAGUUGUACUCCUAACAUAGCUCUAUAAGUUUGAUGCAAUGACCUAGGGCAAAUUCCUUAUGAAUUUAGAGAUAUAAAGCUCCAAAGUUGGCUUCAAUACACUAAAUUUCAGACUUAGUCACAUAGUGCCCAUGUGACCCUUUUGCAAAUAAGUCCAAAUUUCAUCAUUCAACUUGAAAAUUCUCCAAUGUGAAAGUUACUUGGUUUGUGGUGUUCUAUCACUUUGAUAUUUUCACUUUGGUCCAAAAGUGCAUAAAAUUUACAUUUACCCCCCUAGGGUUCCAAUUAGGGUUUUCUAGGGUUUCUUUUACGGUUUUGGGCACACUAGGGUCUUUGUGCCAUUCAAAUCCAUCACUCUUAAUCUCUUUUGGGUAUUUCCAAAGACUUUUGAGAUUUUAAUCACCUUGGCUUCAUUUCCAUCCAUAGGUCCUAAUUCCAGGGUUAAGUACCCUACCCUAAGGUUAAGCACUCUUCAAGUCACAUCAUCACAACCUGUUUGAAAAUUUUACCUAGUGAAUGCAUUCUAGGUGUAACAAACAAUCAUGAAAUGUUAAUGCACAUGACGUUAUGCUCAUGUUUUAGUGCCAGUAACACCAGGGGUGUUACAGGUGAUGCGGAGGCGGUGGUGGUAGAACCUGCACCCUUUGAUGGUGCUGGUAAACAUGGUUGGGUGGAUGCUGGAUUUGCUCGUUGUGGUAGAGUUGUUGGUGAUGGUAAGUGUGUGCAACGACCCGCUGGUUCUCGGCUGGUUGAGCUCUAGACAUUCCGUCCCUGGUGGCCUUGGUCUACGGAUAGUCCCUUGUUUGGUGUGCGCAGUCUUCGUCGUGAAACAAGCAAUAGAAUCUUCGUGGUUGUUGUGUCCGUCCACGACCUCUUCCUCUUGCGCCGUUGCCGCGGCCUUGGGGGGUAUUACUGACGACGAGUGGGCUCUCCAGCUAGGUGUUGAUUGGCUAUGGUGUGCACCUGCUGAUGAUUGCGAUUGUCCCGGUCGGAGUCUGGCUGCGCCGGUCUGGUCCAGGUUCUACUGGACUGCGGAGGGUCCUUGGGCUUCCUCGAAGAUUCAACCUUGCGUUAAUGAAGCUCCUUAGACCUGGCAUACUUCUCAAAUAGUUGGUAUAGCUCCUAUAGGUUCUUGGGUGGGUCCCUGAUGCAAUGACUGUACAGGAUGUCUGCCCAAAGACCACUGAUGGCGUAGUGGAUCGCUAGGUGGUCGUCAACUUAUGGCAGUUGCGAUUUGAGCAUCAGGAAUUUCCUGUAGUAUUCAUGAAGGGUUUCCUUUUCUUGCUGCUUGCAGAGAGAUAGCUCGGCCAAGGCAUUUGUGUCGUGUCGGUACCGUUUGAAGUUGAGUAGGAAUUUGUCGCGAAGGCCUUUCCAGGACUCGAUGGACAGUGGCGGUAGCCUGGUUUACCAAGUCAAGGCAGGGCCUUCGAGGGUGAUAAUGAAGGACUUGGCCAUGGUGGUGUCGUCCCCUCCGGAUGAUGUGACUGUGACCUCGUAGCUCAUGAUGUACUAAGCCAGGUCGGUGCUACCGUUGCAUUUGGGGUAGGUGCCUGCACUGAAGUUGGCGGGCCAGGGUGAUGCCUGGAGUUGCGGAGCCAGAGGACUUCGCUCGUCGAGAUAGUUGAUCUCCUGGAAAGCGGCAGCUGGUGGAAUGAAGGGGCCACGCUGUGGUUUGAAUGGGUCUUCGACUUGAAUGUACUGCUGGAGAGGCGCUGACGGUGCAAGGGGUCCGCGCUGCAGGUUGUAUUGGCCUUCGCCUUGUAUGAGCGUGAUCUCUUGCUCUAGCUCCCGAGCUCUCUGCCCUUCAUCUUGUAUCAUCUGGCGCACCUUGGCUUGCAUGGUGACUCGUUGACCCUUGGCUUCAAGGAUUUCUUUAUGCUUCUGCGGGUGGUUGUUUUUUAUGCGUAGAGCUCGCAUCUUUAGCUGGUCUUCGGCUGAGAUGCCGAUGACUUCUCUGUCCACUAUGGUGUCUUUGCCCUGUAGCGGAGCGAAGCCUGAUGUGGUGCUUGUGGUGCGCCCUCGGAACUGCAGGUGCGUACAGUGCCGUCGAGGGUGGGGUGAUCCUGGCUCUGUCUGUUGCUGUUGACAGUGUCGUCUUCGAAGGCCUCUUAGGGGUGGUGUCCGCGAGGGCCUUGCCUUUCUUCUCCGCUAGUAGUGCUGCCUUCACCUCGUCGUCGAUGGAUGCGGCGGCCUUGGACGUUGCUCUCUUAGGGGCCAUCGCGGGUUGUUCUUCGUCGCACGAACAGUGGGCGCCAAAUGUUGUAACCUGCCUUUCAAGACAGGUUGAUCCAACGAGAAAUUAGGGAGAGAGUUUGCAAAGCUUAACACACGAUGUCAAAAGCCUCGUUAGCCCCUUUUGCCUAGGCAAAGUACGGGGGUAUUUAUAGGUACUCGAGGGGCCGUUUGUCCCUAUCAAAGACAUUUAGACCCGCGAGUACCUGGUUUAUACCCAGAAUAUUCCCACGAGGGGAGGUUAUAGACAGUCAUUACGGUAAACUUUAUUACAGACACGGCCCUAAUCACACAUGCUCACGCGGGGCCCAACUCUAUGGGCCGAACCGCACAUGGGCCUCUCUUGGUGGUGAGGGAGUGGGAGAUUACAGACUUCGCGGGGCCUUCAUCUUGUCUUGUGUGAGCGAAGGGGGUCGAACAGGCCUCCAUCCGGUUAGCGCCCUUGGCCUAUCCUGGCGGGUUCUAUGGAUCCAGCCUUCGCCAGCGUAAGGCGAGGACGAAGUUGACGAGCGAAGGGUGGCGUGUUCGCUUUCGUCCCAACAUACACACACUAGUUUGGUCCGAGCGGGGGUGGAGGAGUGGGUCGACGUGAGCGUGCUCUCGGAGGUGUUCCGCGGCAACGAGAUGAUGUUCUCGAUACCAGAACACGGUAGCGCUCAAUCGGUUGGGCCUAUGAGCAACACUAACAUUCAAGGAUGCUAAAACAUGGCACAGAAGGGGAUGAACGGACCUGAGAUCGGCUGGCCACGGCGAGAUACCUCACGACGGCGAUUUUGGCCGAUUUGGGGGAAAAACCAAAUUCGCGGUCUACGGUGGCUAAUCGGGGGCGAGAGUUGGUGUUCUGGCUUCGUAAUAGGCUAACGGAGUAGGCCACACACUCAAUUUGUAGCGUCUGCAAGCGGUGGCUCCGAAUUUGGGAAAGGCAAGCUAGCGGCCGGAGCAAAGUUAAGUCACUGGAGUCGCUUAUCGUGGCAUUUACUGGGCAAAGGUUUACGACGGUCACUGCUUAGUCUUCACGGCACACGACGACGUGGUGAAACAGCUUAAGGCGUGUCGUGACCGAGGGAAACAGCGACACGAUGGCGGUGGUCGCGCGGCCAUGUCACCGGUGCAAGCGGGUACGACGAUUGAGCAGUAACAGUGCCCCAAGUUCAUUCUCCGCGCGAGAUCUUUCACCUCACAUAGAUAUCCGCGCACCACUAGGCAUGAAUCAUAGCGACUGCAUGGAUCACGGCGCGGAGAUCACCGGCAGCGAGAUGCCUUGAACCUGGAUUCUUGUUCAGUCCACUGUACCAUCGCGAUCCCAUUCAGUUGUUCUGACAGAGCAAGUUCAGGAGCUCUUUUCUCAAAUUUUUAUGUAACAACCCACUAAUCCAUCUGUAGCAAAGUUGUUCUUCUACAAACCAGCUUUGAUUUUGUUAUAGCAACCUCGAUAAAACAGCCACUGGAUCCUAUGCAAAAUCGAUCUCAAAGUUCAUCCUAGUUUAGUGACAGUCGAAUUUCAGUUUCAGUGGUGACUGACAUCCUAACUUGAGGUCCAUUUUUCUCCAAUUUCCAUACAGUUCCAAAGCUUAGUCACUUAAUCAAACUUGAACUACUAACAUAGCUCUACCAUUUUGUUGUAAUGACUUAGGGCAAAACCUUCAUGGAUUAAGAGAUACAAGGGCAUAAACCUGACCUAAUGUCACUCAUUUUCAGAGUUUAUACCACAUGGUGCCAUUGGGGCUUUUGCAAAUUACUCCAUUUUGCUCCACAUCACUUGAAAAUCUUCCAAUGUAAAUGUUGUUUAGUUUUUGAUACUCUACCACUUUGAUAUAUGCACGUUGGUCCAAAAGUGUAUAGAAAUUGAAAUCGCCUUAUAGGGCACAAAUUAGGGUUUCUAGGGCUCUUAUUAGGGUUUUGAGUGUUCUAGGGUUUGUGUGCCACUCAAAUCCAUCAAGUUUAGUCUCUUAUGAACAUUUCCACUAACGUUUGAUAUAAUACUCAAUUUGGUAUCACACAUACCCACAUAUUUCUAUACCUUGGUUAAGUACCAUAUUCUAAGGUUUAGAAGCACUUCAAGUCAUCACAUCACAACUUGUUUUGAAGUUUUAGCCUAGUGGAUGCAUCCUAGGUGUAACAAACAUAAUGACAUGUCAAUGCAUAUGAUGCCAUGCCCAAAUUUUAGUUCUUGUAACACCAGGGGUGUUACACGCAUUUUUACCCGCAAGUCGUGUUACCCAUUUGCCACGGGGUUGUUCGGACUCCAUACACUUCUAUCGAGGAGGCGAGGCAGGGUAGCACUACGAGGCCUUUAUAAAGUUCCACUAGCUUUAGAAAAGCCAGUACGAUUUCUAAGGUGAGCGAUAUAGGAAUCCCCCGUCUGAAAAGCCAUCGCAGCACAAUCAACCCGAGAACCUCCCUAUACCGACAACUCCCCUACUGCCCUUGCCCCUUUUGUGUAAGAUAGUCCUCCACUAGCUUUCCUAAUUAGUCAGCAAAGGACGUCCCAUAUCACCCUUGUGGCAUCACUGUUUUCCCGCGUGGUUCUCCAUGUUCCCAUUAACAUAAUGAUCUUAUCAUGAACAGUAAAUAACUCAUUGACAAUAAAUUGCAUGAUCAUGAAUAAUGUGUAUCUUAACACCCAAAACCACAUAAAGCAAUAGCAUAUAAUACCCAAAAGUUCAGUGGUAAAUAAGGUAUUAAGAUGACCAAACUUGGGUGACCUAUUGGGUCCCAUCAAAAUUAACCUAUGCAGAUCAUAAUGAUUAACAAGAACAUUAUUGGGUAAAGAAAAGUGAUCAAGGAUACAACUUUCCUUCAAUUACUCCUGCUAAGAGUUUUCCACCUGCUGAGUACCGGGGUCCUUGAUCACUUGCUCGUCUACUCGCAACAAUACAAACAAACAUGGUAUAGGAGAAAUUAACAUCACACCAAACAUAAGAACAUACCGCAUAAUAAUGUUCUACGCGUUGCUACAAGAUUGUAGGUUCGAUAACCACUAAAAUCGGAGUUACGGUAAAGGAGUUAUGAUUUUCUGAAGAUUUAGGAGUUAGACAUAAAACAAAUUAAGUGCAUGCUUUUGACCAUAUGUUUUACCCUGAAAUUAGCCUACUAGAUGAUAAACAAUAUUAAUGCAAAAUUAAUGCAACUAGAACGGAUCAAAAAGAGUUAGAAUAAAUAAGUUAUGAUUUUAUUAAAUUUCGGGAUUUAUUUUCUAUAUCAAUAACCUUUUUCUGAUUUAUUUUACUAAUUCUGGUGUCUUAAUGGAGUGGACACAAAUACCAAAGAGUAUAAGGGUGAAACUGCAAAUUCUAGGGCUCGGGUGUAAUUUAUUUCCAACUACGAUUGGAUGGCGGGUUUAUUCUAACAAAGAACAAUGGCCCUUACGCAAAAUGGCACGACCGAAAGAGUACGGGCAGAUUCUGGCCGCAUGAUUAGAAUUCCGCGAUCCAGAUUAGAUCUGAACUGUAUCGAAGUGGUACGCGACGGUAGCCAAUGGAUCCAAUACCGACGGCGGGGAUUUUAAACGGGCACGAUCGGUUGGAUCCGUCCGAUCGCAUCUGAUGGCCUAGAUUCGAAGCGCGAAGGGAAAACCUUGGCUUUUAAUCUCAACCGCCACUCCCUAAAUCGACGUCCACCACGCAUCCUUCUCCUAUGCCGUGAUAGGGCGGUGGUGCACAUAAUGCCGCGGCGAAGCUCCCGCCGGUGACACCCGUCCCGGCCAGCCGACGACUGAUUCCCCAAACCUGCUAGGAUUAUGUGCAAAAGGGAACACGACAUAUGAGAUGGGACACUUACUGGAGACAGGAAUGACGCCCGAAGAGCCACCCACGGCACGCAGCGGCCCACGAUGGCAUUGUGCGGUCUGGCGAGAAAUUGCCGGUGACUGCCGGUUCCCGCACCCAAUAGAACACUCGAGCACCUUCCUUGGUCCCUGGCGACUCCUCCCACCCUCUUGCGGAGCCCAAAGCAAGCCCGUGGCAUGAGGUCGAGAUCGGCGACCAAAUCUCCCACUCACCCACGCCCUUCUCUCAUUUCCUUCUCUCUGGUGAACUCGUGGGCUCUCUUCUCAACGACGGUCAUAGAUGGGGUGAGC